rnacentral:rRNA from 1 species
UACGUAGGGGGCAAGCGUUGUCCGGAAUGACUGGGCGUAAAGGGCGCGUAGGCGGCGAUCACAGUCAGAUGUGAAAUUCCUGGGCUUAACCUGGGGGCUGCAUUUGAUACGUGGUUGCUUGAGUGGGGAAGAGGGUCGUGGAAUUCCCAGUGUAGAGGUGAAAUUCGUAGAUAUUGGGAAGAACACCGGUGGCGAGGGCGGCGACCUGGUCCUUGACUGACGCUGAGGCGCGAAAGCGUGGGGAGCAAACAGG